rnacentral:misc_RNA from 1 species
UCCGAGUUGACCCCGGCAGUCUCCAAUGAGUCCCCAACCACCCCGAAGGAUGUUGCUGGCAACAUUGAACAAGGGUUGCGCUCGUUGCGGGACUUAACCCAACAUCUCACGACACGAGCUGACGACAGCCAUGCACCACCUGUCACCCAGUCCGAAGAGGCACCCAUCUCUGAGUGUUUCCGGGCGAUGUCAAGCCUUGGUAAGGUUCUUCGCGUUGCGUCGAAUUAAGCAACAUGCUCCGCCGCUUGUGCGGGCCCCCGUCAAUUCCUUUGAGUUUCAGCCUUGCGGCCGUACUCCCCAGGCGGGGCACUUAAUGCGUUAGCGCCGGCACCCCGGGGGUCGCUCCCCGAGGCACCUAGUGCCCAUCGCUUACGGCGUGGACUAC